rnacentral:rRNA from 1 species
AUUGACCUCGGAUCAGGUAGGAAUACCCGCUGAACUUAAGCAUAUCAAUAAGCGGAGGAAAAGAAACCAACAGGGAUUGCCCUAGUAACGGCGAGUGAAGCGGCAACAGCUCAAAUUUGAAAUCUGGCCCCCCCGGGCCCGAGUUGUAAUUUGCAGAGGAUGUUCUCUGGCGCGGUGCCUUCCGAGUUCCCUGGAAUGGGACGCCACAGAGGGUGAGAGCCCCGUACGGUCGGACUAACCAAGCCUGUGUGAGACUCCUUCGACGAGUCGAGUAGUUUGGGAAUGCUGCUCUAAAUGGGAGGUAAAUCUCUUCUAAAGCUAAAUACUGGCCAGAGACCGAUAGCGCACAAGUAGAGUGAUCGAAAGAUGAAAAGCACCUUGAAAAGGGGGUUAAACAGUACGUGAAAUUGUUGAAAGGGAAGCGCUCCUGACCAGAAACUUGGGCCGGGCGGCUCAGCAGGGGCUCGCCCCCUGUGUACUCCGUCCCGGUUCCGGGCCAGCAUCGGUUCUCGCUGGGGGACAAGAACGGUGGGAACGUGGCCCCCCCCUCGGGGGGGUGUUAUAGCCCGCCGUAACGAUACCCUGGUGGGGACCGAGGAUUCCGCGCUUCGGCAAGGAUGCUGGCAUAAUGGUCAUCAGCGACCCGUCUUGAAACACGGACCAAGGAGUCGUCCAUUAGAGCGAGCGUUUGGGUGUCAAAACCCGUAGCGCGUAAUGAAAGUGAAAUUCUAGGUGAGAACCUCCUCGCGGGGGCGCAUCAUCGACCGAUCCUGAUGUUCUCGGACGGAUUUGAGUAAGAGUUUUAACGGACGGACCCGAAAGACAGUGAACUAUGCUUGUAUAGGGUGAAGCCAGAGGAAACUCUGGUGGAGGCUCGCAGCGGUUCUGACGUGCAAAUCGAUCGUCAAAUAUGAGCAUGGGGGCGAAAGACUAAUCGAAC